GGGGAAUAUUGCGCAAUGGGGUAAACCCUGACGCAGCAAUACCGCGUGAGUGAAGAAGGUUUUCGGAUCGUAAAGCUCUGUUAUUGGGGAAGAAAAAAAGACGGUACCAUAGGAGGAAGCACCGGCUAACUACGUGCCAGCAGCCGCGGUAAUACGUAGGGGGCAAGCGUUAUCCGGAAUUACUGGGCGUAAAGGGUGCGUAGGCGGUUUAUCAAGUCAGGGGUGAAAGGCUACGGCUCAACCGUGAGUGAGCCUCUGAAACUGGUGAACUUGAGUGUAGGAGAGGAAAGUGGAAUUCCCAGUGUAGCGGUGAAAUGCGUAGAUAUUGGGAGGAACACCAGUGGCGAAGGCGACUUUCUGGACUACAACUGUCGCUGAGGCACGAAAGCGUGGGGAGCAAACA
rnacentral:rRNA from 1 species